rnacentral:rRNA from 1 species
CAAAAUGGGAGGUAAAUUUCUCCUAAGGCUAAAUAUUGGCGAGAGACCGAUAGCGAACAAGUACCGUGAGGGAAAGAUGAAAAGAACUUUGAAAAGAGAGUUAAACAGUACGUGAAAUUGUUGAAAGGGAAACGAUUGAAGUCAGUCAUACCAACGGGAAAUCAACCUUUUGAGCUCGGUCUCGUGGGUUUUGAAGAGUUUCAAAGCCUUCGGAUUCGCGGGAUUGGGAUCUCUUGGCGUACUUUUUCGUACGGUUAGUCAACAUCGGUUUUGAAUGUCAUAAAAUGACUGGAGGAAUGUAGCUUCGAUCUCGUAUUGAAGUGUUAUAGCCUUUGGUAGAUGUGAUGUUUGAGACCGAGGAUUGCAACGGAUACCCUUCAGGGCUAUUCGUCUGAUCUCUGAUACGUUGCCUUGAUGUUGAAAGCUUGCUUAUGAUGUUAGGGUAUUACGGUCAAAAGGUUAGAACGAAUUACA